rnacentral:ncRNA from 1 species
CGGUGGCGAAGGCGGAUCUCUGGGCCAUUACUGACGCUGAGGAGCGAAAGCGUGGGGAGCGAACAGGAUUAGAUACCCUGGUAGUCCACGCCGUAAACGUUGGGAACUAGGUGUUGGCGACAUUCCACGUCGUCGGUGCCGCAGCUAACGCAUUAAGUUCCCCGCCUGGGGAGUACGGCCGCAAGGCUAAAACUCAAAGGAAUUGACGGGGGCCCGCACAAGCGGCGGAGCAUGUGGCUUAAUUCGACGCAACGCGAA